rnacentral:rRNA from 1 species
AGUUUUUUGAAUUUAAUUUAAAAUAAAACCUGCUCAAUGAAAAAUUUAAAUAGCUGCAGUAAUUUAACUGUACUAAGGUAGCAUAAUCAAUUGUUUCUUAAUUGGAAUCUAGAAUGAAUGGUUAAAUGAAAUAAAAACUUUAUUAAUUUUAAAAUAUUUAAAUUUAUUAUUAGUAAAAAAUCUAAUUUGAUUAAAAAAGACGAGAAGACCCUAUAGAUUUUAAUAAUUUAUUUAAUAAACUUAAUUUAAUUUAAUAAAUUUAUUAUAUAAAUUAUUUGAUUGGGGUGAUUAUUAAAUUUAAAAAACUUUUUAUUUAAAAAACAUUAAUUAAUGAGUUAAAGAUCCUUUGAUAAAGAUUUAGAAAUUAAAAUACCUUAGGGAUAACAGCGUAAUUUUUUUAGAAAGUACAUAUUAAUAAAGAAGUUUGC